UACCAGCACCCCGAGUGGUCGGGACGUUUAUUGGGCCUAAAGCAUCCGUAGCCGGUUCUACAAGUCUUCCGUUAAAUCCAACUGCUUAACAGGUGGGCUGCGGAAGAUACUAUAGAGCUAGGAGGCGGGAGAGGCAAGCGGUACUCGAUGGGUAGGGGUAAAAUCCGUUGAUCCAUUGAAGACCACCAGUGGCGAAGGCGGCUUGCCAGAACGCGCUCG
rnacentral:rRNA from 1 species